UACAGAGGUCUCAAGCGUUGUUCGGAUUCAUUGGGCGUAAAGGGUGCGUAGGCGGCGCGGUAAGUCGGGUGUGAAAUCUCGGAGCUUAACUCCGAAACUGCAUUCGAUACUGCCGUGCUUGAGGACUGGAGAGGAGACUGGAAUUUACGGUGUAGCGGUGAAAUGCGUAGAUAUCGUAAGGAAAACCAGUGGCGAAGGCGGGUCUCUGGACAGUUCCUGACGCUGAGGCACGAAGGCCAGGGGAGCAAACGGG
rnacentral:rRNA from 1 species